AGUAAAAAAAAAAAAAAAAAAAACUGCAUGCUGAAACCUUUCUCUGGGGGGAAAUGUUUUGUGAAUAUCAACUCAAAUCCCACAGAUGUGAAUUGGAAUUGGUCAGAUUGGAAUCCUGUUUGGAUAACCACCAUGGCUAUCCUGUGACAAUCCAUACAUCAUGCCCGAUAUUGCUGCCUCCUGUGAAUUAUUAUAAAAGUGGGCAUUAAUACAUGUAUAGCCCAGUAUGGAGGGGUCCCAGCUGAGUAUUACCAACCCCUACAAAUGUGAGACUUCAUCUAACAUUUAUAUUGGGUUAUAUACAGAUACACAUCUGCACGUAUUAACCAAUUUACUAACAUCACUAAAAAUGCAUUAUAUCUUAACUUUACUCAAUUGUCUAGGCAUGACUUUUCCCAAACGUCUUUACAUUCCAUAGUCUUGUUAAAUGUGACUCAUGCCUAUGAUCAAAGUAAUGUAUAUUUGCUGGAAAACGCUUCCUUGUAUUUAAAUGAAUCUGUUGCUGCAUCGUUCUUGUAUUAGUCAACGACCUGUAUUUCAGAUGCCGAUUAUAUUGGCUUUGUAUUUAUUACACUGUAGCCUUCUUUAAUUAUCUCGGUGUCGUGUCUCAUUAUGGGUUAGCUACGUUUUCGUGGUACUGCUGUCUGAUUGGUUGAGCCAGCAGAUACUAUGGGUGCGUUCACGGAUAUCAUUCUGCGCAGAUUCUGUGCAGAAUCUGACAAGUUUAGCCAAUGGUCUUCUAAGAAUGGUCUUAGUGAACGCAUCCAUUGGCUAAAUUGGUUAGAUUCUGCAAGAAUCUGAGCAGAAUGAUCUCCAUGAACGCAUCCUGUGUUCUUUUCUAAAAGGAAAUACGACUCUUUAGUGCCUUCGUCAAAACACGUACUUCCUUGGAUAUUUUUGCUACGCGGUUCUAAACAAUAUUAAAAGUGGAUAGAACUCGUUCAAAGCAGGGGAUUAACAAUCAUUCGUGUGUGAUGAUGGUACACAACCAAACCAAACAGAACCUACUAUGCCGAGGCAAGUUUCUCGCUAAAUUCAAGCUCGGAUGCUAUUAUAAUUUAUUUGUAAAGUUGUUGUUUACUAUUUUUUUUAUUUAUAUAUAUAUUUUUAAAAAUGACCUCUUACAAUUUAAUUUACAGAGGUUUUUAAAACGCACUAAUGCCUUUUGCCAUUGACUCGCCUGCUUAUUUAGACCCACCUAGCAGCGGAUGUGACGUCACACUAAAGAAGCGCAUUUAAAUGCACCACCAGACAGGAAUGCCAUUUGAUGACAUCAGCAGGUCUAUCUCCUUUUAAUCUACUUCCCUGUCCUGGAAUUAAAGCUGUAGAAUCAUUUUCAUUGCACCAUUGUAAUGUCAACUUUUCAGGUCAUAUUCAUAACAUCCUUUUAACAGGUGCUUAACUUGCCAUGGCUACACGUUUGUGUUAAACGAGUCAGGCUAAAGGACAGUCUAGGACCUUGUGUGUUAAGUUGUAUCUUACAUUUCCGUUGUGUUUCUGUGCAAUCUGGUUCGUGUACACAAGUGAGAUACAGUUUCUGGUGCACACAUGUGACUGAAAGUCCUGAAGAUCAUCAGCAUACAAACAUUUCUGUGUUGCUUCCUGAAGCUGAACCUGAGCUUCCGAAGCGUAGUCAUAUCCUCCUGCUGCUGCAGGCGGUUAAGUUCAUAGAGGUCAAAUAAAUCUCUCAAAUACUGGUUAUGGAUGAAGUCUAAACUAUGUAAGAAUGUACUAGCAAACACAUUUAUUAUUAUAUAAAUAUACGCUUCACCUUUUAAAUGCAUUUAUUACACAUUGUAUAAUAACCAUGUCUGUAGAGUUCAUUGACACCUUGCAUCUGUUAGCCAGCAUUUAAUUGUUGACUGCAUUGUCCUAUUGUUUGAACGUGGACAGAUUUACUGGAUUUACCUGUUCUUUGGUAACUAGUUGACGUUUCUGUGAGGAAUUUAGUGAGCUUGUUCACUCCCAGCAAUGUCAGCACUACACCGUUUAUCAAGGGGACAUAUAGUGUAGUUGCAUACUAAAUAAAAACUCAGUCAAAUCUAAAGACAAAUUUCACCAUGAGACGACCUUGCAGAUGUCUUUACGUGUGCUACUUUAUAUCUUACGAUUGAGUGCUUGGAGUUAUGGAUUAUCAAGGGGCAGUCAUUUACAGACACAGGGUAGAUUUGCAUAACCAAGUGCAAGUACUUGAUGAGUUCUAGUUUUUUUUGAAAAUGCAGAAACUGUUUGAAGUGACAUGUGCCAUCGAUACUCCUUGGAGAGGUUUACUACAUCAGUUCUGUGCCUGCAUCUUACCACUUAGAGGGAGCACAAAGCCACUUUGUGGCUUGGAACUUGGUUUCAGGCCACUGCAUGGCACAGCAGGGUAGACUUGGGGUAUGAUACAGCAAAGCUACCUCAAACAAGGUCCCUGUCUCCUGGAACCAGGUUUCAAGCCACUGUUCCUGAAAUAGUGGCUUUGUGUUCCCUCAGCUUUACUUACAAGACUUUGAUGACACAGGAUUCACUUAUACAGAUUAUUUACUAUUGGCCUGAAUUUUGUGAUGGGGUGGGGGGCAUAUUGAUGUUGUGAUAGGCACUCAAACUUAUAAAGCCUGUGCAACAAUAAUAUGCUUCUCCCUGAAAAAUCAGUGUCCUGAUGAGUCAUUUUAAAAUCAUGUUUUAGUUGAAUAGUUAUUAAGCAUAAACAAGAAUUGAGAGUCAUACAGAACACAUAGAAGUGUAUUAAACAGGAAAGACAUGUAGAUGGUACUCAGUACCUCUUUAAAAUGCCACAGCAUGUUCAACCUCACGUCUAGUAGUUCAACGUCCCAGCACAGUUAUACAGUAAAGGACAGCUGACACUCAGAAUUCAAACAUAAUUAAAGAACAGCUUGGAGAUUUUUUAAGUAGCAAUUCUCUUAGUCAUUGUCUCUAUCUCAUGAUAACCUUUAAACAAUAAUUUUAACAACACUGAUUACAUGUUGUACCUUUUGUUAGGUGUGACAGACAAGAGAGGGGUUUUACAGCUUGAUCAGCCACUCGAACAAUCUGUAGACUGUGUUUAAUUGCACUAGUGUGUGGUUGAUGGGAGUGCCCACAGCCAUUUAACACAACCAAUGAGAAAAGCUGCUGAAGCAGUCUGAUACCGAACAUGAGUCUGCCUACAGCUGUAUUGCUUUUUUCUCUUUUGUACAUCACAUGGCAACUGCACUGCGUAUUGUAAAUCUCCCCUACUAAAGUAUGCAAGAAUCCCGUAAAGACCCUGCUGGUAGAUCAGGCAGUCGUGUGGUGAGUUUCACGGGUGUGCAGCUGUAAUCUCUGUCCCACCUGCAACACUGGCAAGUUAGUAAAAUGGAAAUCUCUAUACAGACUCACAGAUUCAUUCCGAGAUGCUCACUGAGAUAGUUUCCUGAGAUGUACUGUAAUACAACAGAGUUCUACUAUAGGUACAAUGAGACACCCAUUCAAUCAAAUACACCCAUUCAAUCAAAUACAGCCAUUCAAUCAAAUACAGCCAUUCAAUCAAAUACACCCAUUCAAGCAAAUACACCCAUUCAAUCAAAUACACCCAUUCAAGCAAAUACACCCAUUCAAUCAAAUACAGCCAUUCAGUUCAAUCAUAAGUCAAAUCAAAAACAUUUUGCAAGGGGAUUGUCUACAGUAGCAUGCCUGAUAUGAAUCAUAUGAUACCAUGGCACUGCCUGACCGUGGUGUGUUGGUUAAUACCAUUCUGAUUCCAUUGGUAUGACAAACUAUGAAGAUGCAAUAGUAUCAUUCACCUCAUUCCACUGUGACUGCAUACUGUGCUAGUGUCUCAGUACAGAACCCAUGGUAGCAUGACUGUCUGCAUUGCCGUUGAAGAUAAGUUCGUAAGGGUAAUUGCACAAUAAAUUAAGCUAGUGCAACUGCAGAUGUACCAGAACUGGUGAAAGACUGACCUUAUACUGACUAAAAAAAUAAACAGUAAAAGCAAAAGGAACGAGUGGGUUCGAUAGCUGGGUCUGCAAAGUGUUUCAGGCAUAAGAACACAUGUAAACUGUUUAAGAAGUAACUCUUUGCAACUGUAAAUAUAUAUUUUUUUUUUGAAGUAAUGCGGCACUGUAACUUGUUACAAUUUUGUUCAAGUAACUUGUAUCUGAAUGGAUUACUUUUUAAAAGUAACUUCCCCAACGCUGCUCAUGUCGCCUGCACACCACACGGGAUGUAAAGUUAAUAUGAGAUGGGGUAAGUACAGAAAUCCUCAAUAUUAAACUUCAUUAAUUCAACAAAAAGUCUUUUUCAAAGUCAUCAAAAUGUGGCACUAUUUGUAGUUCUGGGUGCAGUAUGAGGCGCACAGAGAGGUAGUUCAUUCUCUGUGGUCACUCGUAAUUCAAACAGCCCUUGACUAUUUUACGGUUAGCUCAGAUUCUUAUUUGGCUACCAGCAGACACCAGAUUGUAAUGAAUUUCGAUGAUCUACCUUUGACUGGAGAUGAAAUAACUUCUUAUCAGGUGAAGGUAGGGAGGGCUUCAUGGUAUAUUGUUGUGCCUCUGUGUCUCUGCCCUACAUACUUCAGCCACUUGUAUCAUUCAUUAUGAUCCAACUGAGUAGAUAGGAUCUCCCUCUAAUUUAUUAUAAUAGCUAAUAGCCACAGGAUCAGAUUGCAAUAUUUAAUACUGGUUAAGAAAGUGAUCUUAUAACUCACUGUUUAAAAAACAAACAAACAAACAUAAUAAUAUUAAUACAAAACUGGGCCACAUUCAAGUAUGUAGGCUACAUUUUAGGUCUGUAAUUGCAAAGCAGAGCAUUGCUGUAAUGCAGAGCUUCUGGGUUAAGAAGCUUUUAUGACUGUGAUUAAUGUGUAUUCCUGCUAACCUUACAAGGACAGGGUAAUCCAAGUUGCUUAGUAUUUUCAAAGCCUUUGGUGCUUCUUGGUUUUUUACAACCCAAGAACAUUUUGUUCAAGAUUUCAGUCCCUGUAGCUGACUGCUGUAGGCAUUCUCACGUCCUGAGAUAAAGAAAAAACAAUAAAUCAGGGUAGGGGUUGGUUUUCAGCCAAACCAUCAACAGGGUAAACAAGAUUGCCAACAAACACUAAAAUGUAGAUUAAACAGUCACACACAAACACAGGCCACUGCAGCCAUGAGUUCCAAAGCACUGCUGCUUGGACAUCAGCAAACGUCUGUAAACUGAAAAGCUUUUGUGUUGGUAAUCCCUUUGAGGCAGCAGUCAGGCUAGCAGGUGCGUAAUUCUAUCAAAGCGGCUGGGCUCCUUGAUGGUUUUAAUUACCCUUGGGGACCCGGAGAUGUCAUGGUUAGGUUUCACUUGAUUGCACUUGUCGUAGGCAGGUGUGUGUGAGAGAGAGAGACGAGGUUUAUACCAAAUAGAAGUUGCUUGUAGUACUAUUACAGUAGAGACCAAAAGAGUUCAAUAAAAAUGGGGGCUGGCGAGAAAGCUUAGAAAACAAAAAGUUAGUCUGGUAGCGCAGAGAAGAUUAGGACGGGUUUGUUUCAUCGCCUUCUGGAUAAGUCUGUUGCAGGAGUUCAGGUGGAAAGGUUUAGUGUGAUAUUGAGUCAAGUAUACAACUAAACUUUUUUUUACAACUUAAAUUGCUGCUGUGUUUAUUUCUAGUUAUGUGACUGUAAGCCAACAAUGUCUUUUUAUGCACAGUUUUGCAACCAGUUUGGAAACAUAUAUUUGUAUCUGUUUCAUCCACUCAGGAUCACAUACACCAUAUAGCUGAAUCAAUAAAAAAUGUUGCACUAGAUUUAUUAAACGUGAUUGUAGUUACCUUUUUUUUUUCUUAUUGAGUACAAUUAUUAUUUGAUUGGGCAGUUUUUUGUUUGAUUACUUGAUUACUUUGCUGUUUCCAAAAUGCUAUCUGUAUAUUCUUACAGUAUAUGUUGCAUAUAUGUAUUUGUAGAUAUAAUGGCACAGUUUAUUAAGUUAUAGUGAGUACACUUGAUAAAUAACAUAGCAAAGAAAAAGCUGUGAUUGUGUAAUUUGACACCUCAGACACAUUUCUGGCAGCUAUGGUAACACAUGAGCCUGCAUACUUGUAUGAUUGUGUUCUCACACAAAUCAAUUUCAAAUAGGUCUUUAUAAAUGUACAUUGUGAUUGAACAAAUGAACUGGUAUGUGCUGACUUGUGACCGAGCUGUAUUUUGUAUAAAAUUGUAAUCUCCGCUGUUGCUGUCUGCAUUCAGAAGUUCCUGCUUCAUCGGCUAAUAUUUUUUGCCAGAAUAUCACCCGAGCUGGCUGACAAAAGGGACCUCGGAGUCUUCCAAUAAUGUUCUUUUUUCUGUACUACGGGAUCUGGGACAAAUGCAGUGGCAAGGACACAGACCAUGUUUGGCCACCACUUUGAUCCCAUCCCGUGAAUGUGCUAUACCACAGUAUGUCUGCAUUAGUCCAAUUAUUUAUGCUGUACAGGAAUCACUGUUUUGGAGGGACCUGCAAAUGUACAGCAUAUUAUUUUAAUGUGUAAUAUUAUUUCAAUGCUUUAUUUUUUAAAAAGACUUAAGGUAAAUGCAAUUGCAUUAUGUUAGCAUGUAAAUAUGACUAGUAAACAUGAGAGUUGAGCCUGGUCAGUUUCACAGACAGGAAAAAAAAAUACAAAGCAAUAUCGCAAAUAUAUUCUUACUGCACAAUCAUUAGCUCUGAUGUUAAAAAAAAGCUUUUGUGAUUAUCAAAUUUAACACACAACAAUAAUAGGUUUGCUUGUUGUAAAUCUGAUAAUGCCUUUAGAACUAAUGUUUUUCAAGUGCGUUGACACUGUAUGUAUUUCCUCAUAGACUGUGCUUUAAUAGCCUCUCGAUAAAGGUACCCUAGAUUUUGUUCCAGCAUUUUUGGGUACUUUUACAUUUAGAAAAAUAGAAUAAAAUGUUUAAUUUAAACCACUCACAACCUUCAUCAAUGUGUUCUUUGUUAUUGCUAUUGUUUAAUUUUCAACAAGAGAGCUUUUGUACAACCAAAGUCUUAAAAAGAAAAAAAAACGUGGUCUGUACGGAAUAGCUAUGUAUAAUACUGUGGGAGUCAAACACACUUGCCCAAUACUGACACCCAGGGGGAGAAAAGGGCAGGACAGGUGCAGCUGUAAGGUUAAACUCAACAGUCAGUCCGUACUUGUGUGCAGGACUUUUAAU